rnacentral:tRNA from 1 species
GAAGGUGUAGCUCAGCCGGGAGAGCGCUUGCCUUACACGCAAGAGGUCAUAGGUUCAAGCCCUAUCAUCUUCA